UUUUAACAAUAUAUAAUUUAUUUACAUAGAUUUCAGGUUGAAUUACUAUACAAACCUUUCUGAAAUGUCAUCGUUAGAUAUAUACAUAAGGCCAAGUAAACACUUGAAAGCACUUAGAAACGAAUUUCCAAAAUUCUACCCACAAAUCCAUAUCAUCGUUAUCAUUGUCUGAAAAGUUACAUAAAAGUGCCUCGACUAAACACGCUUUUUUCUAUCUCCACAAAUGUUUUUUUGACCACACUUUACACUGAGUAUACAAAACAUUAUGAACACCUGCUCUUUCCAUGACAUAGACUGAAAGCUAUGAUCCCUUGUUGACGUCACAUGUUAAAUCCACUUCAAUCAGUGUCAAUGAAGGGGAGGAGACAAGUUAAAGAAGGAUUUUUAAGCCUUGUGACAAUUGAGACAUGGGUUGUGUAUGUGUGCCAUUCAGAGGGUGAAUAUGGGUAAGACAACAUAUUUAAGUGCCUGUGAACGGGGUAUGAUAGUAGGUGCCAGGCGCAGUGGUUUGACUGUGUGAAGAACUGCAACGCUGCUGGGUUUUUCUCGCCCAACAGUUUCCUGCGUGUCCACCAUCCAAAGGAUGUCCAGCCAACUUGACACAACUGUGGGAAGGAUUGGAGUCAACAUGGGUCAGCAUCCCUGUGGAACGCUUUCGACACCUUGAAGAGUCCAUACCCCAACAAAUUGAGUCUGUUCUGAGGGCCAAAUGGGGGGGGAUAGAGGAGGGUGUUCCUAAUGUUUGGUAUAGCCAGUGACAAUAAGGAACAGAAAAGUUUAAAAAAAUAAAAAAUAAAUAAAAAAAGGAAUUAUAUAAUUGCAUAAGCGCUGUGUUGCGUGAGAUACAUACAGCAUUUAUUUUACUUGCAGAAAGGCAAGGAACAUUGAAUCAAGGAAAUAAAUAGAAAAAAACAUAUAGAAGUCGAUUUAUUUUCUGUUGAAAAAAGGAAAUUGAUUUCAGUCAGAGUGAAACAUCAAGAUCACACACAUGGAAAUUCUUGACACUGAAUAACAAUGAUUGAAGCUGAGGAAAUGUAGUGUGUGAAAGGUAUCCAUUUUUCCAUCUAAGCAGAGUCUACAACUCUCUUGGUAAAAGCGUCCAUGUCAUUUUAAAAAACUGUCAAACUUGAGCUUUCAAUCCGAGAGAGAAGAAAGCUUUGCGACGGAAAUGGCAUUUGUCAUCCAUUAUGACAGCUAGUGACGUUUGUGUCAGACAAAGACCAUGGAGUCCCAAAUUGGACCCUAUUCCCUAUGUAGUGCAAUAUGUUAGCCCAGGUCAAAAAUAGUGGAUUUACAUAGGGGAUAGGGUGCCAUUUGGGAGCAAUCCUAAGUUAGAUGUUAUCUGUAGUGGGUAGGCGGGAGUCUGAGUCCAGUGUCUUCCGGGGGUGGUUUGAGAUACUCGGCUGUUAUGCACUUAGAAAACACAUCACUGUCCAUCAUGGAAAAGGUGAUAACGACUGUGUUAAACAGUCAUAAUCUCACUAUAGAACUGCCAUGAACCUUCUAUGAUGUGAUGGAUUGUGCAGCCUGGCCACCCGUGACACAAGUCAAUAUUCAACGUCCAUCCAUGUCUGAGGACGUCGGGAGAUGAAGUGGAAACCGGCCACUAGGGGGAAACGGCGAGCACUUUACCUUCAAGCAGGUUUCUGUUUUACUAUGGGUGAUGGGGAUGGUGGACAGGCAAAAGCAUCUGCCUCUUAUUUUAAAGGUUGCGAAUUCAAAUCCAGCGAUUAAAAAUCUGUUUAUUUUGUUUUAAGCCCAACCCUUACCUUAAACAAUCAGAGUUAAUGCCUAACCUUAACCUUAAACACUUUGAAAUUUGACAUUUGGAACAACUACGAAAAUUGACGUUUGAGAAACAUGGAUGAACGUUUUAUUCUGACAUGAGACUUGAGACCUGGUUGGAAAGGUCUGUGUGUAAACUAUUGGUGUUCUGUCUCCAGUAGUUACCAGUGUAGUAGUAGUGGUGUUCUGUCUCCAGUAGUUACCAGUGUAGUAGUAGUGGUGUUCUGUCUCCAUUAGUUACCAGUGUAGUGGUGUUCUGUCUCCAUUAGUUACCAUAGUAGUGGUGUUCUGUCUCCAUUAGUUACCAGUGUAGUGGUGUUCUGUCUCCAGUAGUUACCAGUGUAGUAGUAGUGGUGUUCUGUCUCCAUUAGUUACCAGUGUAGUGGUGUUCUGUCUCCAGUAGUUACCAGUGUAGUAGUAGUGGUGUUCUGUCUCCAGUAGUUACCAGUGUAGUAGUAGUGGUGUUCUGUCUCCAGUAGUUACCAG
ensembl:lncRNA